UACGGAGGGUGCAAGCGUUAUCCGGAAUCACUGGGUUUAAGGGGUGCGUAGGCGGCACUGUAAGUCAGGGGUGAAAGGCUGCAGCUCAACUGUGGAAUUGCCUUUGAUACUGCGGUGCUAGAAUGAGAUUGAGGUAAGCGGAAUGUGGCAUGUAGCGGUGAAAUGCAUAGAUAUGCCAUAGAACACCAAUUGCGAAGGCAGCUUGCUAGAUCUUGAUUGACGCUGAGGCACGAAAGCGUAGGGAGCGAACAGG
rnacentral:rRNA from 1 species